rnacentral:rRNA from 1 species
GUUAAGCGACUAAGCGUACACGGUGGAUGCCCUGGCAGUCAGAGGCGAUGAAGGGCGUGCUAAUCUGCGAUAAGCGCCGGUAAGGUGAUAUGAACCGUUAUAACCGGCGAUACCCGAAUGGGGAAACCCAGUGUGAUUCGUCACACUAUCAUUAACUGAAUCCAUAGGUUAAUGAGGCGAACCGGGGGAACUGAAACAUCUAAGUACCCCGAGGAAAAGAAAUCAACCGAGAUUCCCCCAGUAGCGGCGAGCGAACGGGGAGGAGCCCAGAGCCUGAAUCAGCAUGUGUGUUAGUGGAAGCGUCUGGAAAGGCGCGCGAUACAGGGUGACAGCCCCGUACACAAAAGCGCAUGUGCUGUGAGCUCGAUGAGUAGGGCGGGACACGUGGUAUCCUGUCUGAAUAUGGGGGGACCAUCCUCCAAGGCUAAAUAC